rnacentral:rRNA from 1 species
GCCCGAUAGUGGGGGAUAACCUGGGGAAACCCAGGCUAAUACCGCAUACGUCCUACGGGAGAAAGGGGGCUCCGGCUCCCGCUAUGGGAUGAGCCUAUGUCGGAUUAGCUAGUUGGUGAGGUAACGGCUCACCAAGGCCACGAUCCGUAGCUGGUCUGAGAGGAUGAUCAGCCACAUCGGGACUGAGACACGGCCCGAACUCCUACGGGAGGCAGCAGUGGGGAAUAUUGGACAAUGGGGGAAACCCUGAUCCAGCCAUGCCGCGUGUGUGAAGAAGGCCCUCGGGUUGUAAAGCACUUUCAGCGAGGAAGAACGCCUAGCGGUUAAUACCCGCUAGGAAAGACAUCACUCCAGAAGAAGCACCGGCUAACUCCGUGCCAGCAGCCGCGGUAAUACGGAGGGUGCAAGCGUUAAUCGGAAUUACUGGGCGUAAAGCGCGCGUAGGUGGGCUUGAUAAGCCCG